UCUGGCUCCCCAAUCAGAGUACACGUCCCAGCCGUGGCCGAGCCUCGCCCAGGAAGACCUGCUGGCUCUCCGCCUUCCCUCAGCGUGGCCCUCCCACCCCUGGGAGCACGAAGGUGCUCAGAGCCAGAAAAUACUCGGAUGCCCACUUCCUGGCACCUGCUCUGGAGCCAGGCUGGGAGGAAUGGGAAAUCCCUGCGGCCUCCCUAACAGGCGCAGAGGGUGAGGGCCCAGACGGUGAGAGAUGGGAGUGUGCGCCGGUGAGGGCCUGAGGCCUUUGGAGGUAUGGAGUUUCCGGGGGCGAGGCUCUGGCUUGGGGUCGGGAAAAAGGGGUAGCUGCGCAGCCACCGGUACCAGGAAGCACACAGUGAGGGCCCCACCGGGACCAUUAAGCACACGGACGCGCAUGCGCUCCGCCCGCCCAGAUGCGCACGCACUUGAGCCGCAGCGCGACGGUUUACAAAGGCUUAGAAGGCCAGAGAACCCGGCCCCGCCACUCCUGGCGCAGCGGCAUCUCCUACCUGAUGCCGCCCGGUCUCGGCUGCGAGUCAGGAAGAGGAUAAAGCCGACUAGCAAAGCUGCCGCUACCAUGUACCACACGGGCGCCACCAUGACGAAGACCUCCAGGCAGAACCACUGCGUCCACACUGAGGCCCGGGAUCUCCUAGGCCCCGCCCCCGUUUCCCAGUCUAGGCCCCGCCCACCACUCGGAGUCCCGCCCAACCGCACAUCACAGAGAGGCUUUAAUGUAAAAUAUUAAAAUGAGUUUGGGGGACGUAAAAAAAACCCCAUAAUGUUAAA